rnacentral:tRNA from 1 species
GCUAUUGUAGCUCAGUUUGGUUAGAGCACUACUCUUUUAAAGUAGGUUAUGGACUUAAAAUCCAUCAACACCA